GACGAACGCUGGCGGCGUGCUUAACACAUGCAAGUCGAACGGAAAGGCCCUGCUUUUGUGGGGUGCUCGAGUGGCGAACGGGUGAGUAACACGUGAGUAACCUGCCCUUGACUUUGGGAUAACUUCAGGAAACUGGGGCUAAUACCGGAUAGGAGCUCCUGCUGCAUGGUGGGGGUUGGAAAGUUUCGGCGGUUGGGGAUGGACUCGCGGCUUAUCAGCUUGUUGGUGGGGUAGUGGCUUACCAAGGCUUUGACGGGUAGCCGGACUGAGAGGGUGACCGGCAACAUGGGGACUGAGAUACGGCCCAGACUCAAACGGGAGGAAGCAGUGGGGAAUAUUGCACAAUGGGCGGAAGCAUGAUGCAGCAAAGCCGCGUGCGGGAUGACGGCCUUCGGGUUGGAAACCGAUUUCGCCUGUGACGAAGCGUGAGUGACGGUAAUGGGUAAAGAAGCACCGGCUAACUACGU
rnacentral:rRNA from 1 species